AAUUAUCAACUGUGCCACUUUGGUUACAGAUUGGAUGUGGGAGAUUUCUUGCAGGCUUUUGACUUCUCUUUGAGAGAGAAAACAUAAGUCGGCUCUCCUGAAAUGUAUUAGCAGUGCCUUUGUUGGUUCAUUAGGUGUGAUAAUCUAUCUACUUUACAUGGUACCUUCAUCUGUAAAGGUUAUACUGCUUCUAAUUGUCUUUGGACAAAAAACAUAUAAAAUGUAUGACAA
rnacentral:misc_RNA from 1 species